rfam:Schistosoma rodhaini strain Burundi genome assembly, scaffold: SROB_scaffold0000014
AUCCAGUUGACGAGUCCAAAAUAAGACAAAACGCGCGUCAAACUGGAU